AACACAGAAUUAGCCGACGCAGGAAGUCAAACCCGAUAUAAACCUGUAGAAAGUCCUCACUCAUGCAACAGUGGAUCGUGACUGGUUACUGCCACCAUCAUUGACAUGGCGCUGGAUUUCAGGGACAUUUGAAUUCAAGGAGCGCCGCUGGUGACUCCGCAGACCCCCUGCAUGAUGCAUCUGAGUACAGCCACAUCUCUUGUCCUUGAAGAGAACCCCUGCAUGUCUGGGCUUCUUUGAAGUGCUUCCCCCACGCUCACACCCACUACUUAUGCUCCGAUUGUGUGUUAUGCAUCUGCAAUAAAUGACCUACAUACUACAUAAGACAUCCAACAGUGGCACAUUU